CCUCACAGGGCCGGCAUGAGCCGGGCCCGCGCGGCCUCCGCCACCAGGGGCCGCUGUGGCCGGGGCUCCGCGGGGAGGCCCCGCCUCGGCCCAAAGCUUCCGUUGCCCGUGGCCGGCAUCGCACGCGCCGGGGCUGCCGCCAUGAAGCCGAGAAAAAACACAAAGCGAGUUCCAAGCUUUCGGAAGUUACUGAGAACUAGUCAACUAAAACUUGACAACAAGUUAAAGAAUAAGCAGUACAAGCAGCAGAGUACUGCUAAGAAGUAUCGAAAAGAACAAAAGAAACUUAGGCAGGCUGUCAGAGAUGCUGUCUGUAGAAAGCCUUUUCCAUUGGAGGAAUACAAGAAAAAACAUGUUGCUGAAAAACGGGAAGAAGAGGAAGAUGAUGCACUUCCAUUGGACAUGAUGGAUGAAGAUGACUUGAAAUUAAUGGAAGAUUUGGCUCAAAAAGCAUCAUUCUUAACCAGGGAUAUUUCUUCUACUGAACCUGUUCACAUCAAGAAACGAAAACACGAAAGUGUGAUUGAAAAAUACGAGAAGAUGCCAAGACGCAUGAAAACAGAACCAGAAAAAGAACUUAUCCAUCUUCUCCCCAUCAAAGACAAAGGUGGCAUUAUUCCCCAAACCAUGGAAAAGCCAGUUCUCAAUGUUGAAGAAGAUGAAGAAGAAGAAGAUGCAGAAGAAACGGAGGUAGCAGAGGACUUCAGUGAAGAACCCCUGCCUGUUCUCACCCCUGAGGAAAUGGCUGCUCAAAGAAAAAGAAAGCUGCAGGAAAGGAAGAUGCACAUUGCUGCCUUAGCAUCUGCCAUUCUCUCUGAUCCAGACAACAAUAUUAAAAAGUUGAAGGAAUUGCGUGCCAUGCUGAUGGAACAGGAUCCUAACGUGGCUGUGAUUGUUCGGAAGUUGGUCAUGGUUUCUCUGAUGGAGAUAUUCAAAGAUAUUGUGCCUUCUUACAGAAUUCGGCCUCUGACUGAAGCAGAAAAGGCUGCUAAGGUUAAAAAAGAAACUCAGAAACUGAGAGAAUUUGAAGAAGGCCUUGUAAGCCAGUAUAAAUUUUACUUGGAAAAUCUGGAACAAACUAUUAAAGAUUGGAAACAAAGGAAGUUGAAGAAAAGCAAUGUCAUCUCAUUAAAAGCAUAUAAAGGUUUAGCGGAGAUUGCAGUGAAGUGUCUAUGUGAGCUGCUCGUGGCCUUACCCCACUUCAACUUCCACAAUAACAUCAUUGUUCUCAUUGUACCACUGAUGAAUGAUACAUCAAAAACGAUUUCUGAAUUGUGCUGUGAGGCAGUUCAGAAGCUCUUUAAACAAGACAAGUUGGGCAGUGCUUCACUCGGUGUGGUUAAGGUCAUUUCUGGCCUUGUGAAGGGUAGAAGUUACAACGUCAGACCUGAGGUGUUAAAAGUUUUCCUUCACUUAAGAAUUAAGGAAGUAGAAUUAAAGAAAGAUUCUGAAGACAUUGCACCAAAGAAAAAGUUUAUGACUUUCAAAGAGAAAAGAAAAAAUCUUUCAAGAAUGCAGAGAAAGUGGAAAAAAGCAGAAGAGAAGCUGGAAAGAGAACUCUUGGAAGCAGAAGCUUCAGAAAGUAAAGAAAAGAAAUUGAAGCUGCACACAGAAACCUUGAAUGUUGUAUUUCUAACAUACUUUAGAAUCUUAAAGAAAGCUCAGAAGUCUCCACUUUUGCCAGCUGUCCUAGAAGGUCUUGCAAAGUUUGCCCACCUCAUAAAUGUGGAGUUUUUUGAUGACCUGUUGAUUGUUCUUCAUUCUCUCAUUGCAUCUGGGGACUUAAGCUAUCGGGACAGUCUUCAUUGCGUUCUCAGUGCUUUUCAUAUACUCUCUGGUCAAGGUGAUGUUCUUAAUAUUGAUCCGAUGAAAUUCUACACACAUCUUUACAAGACGCUGUUCAGCCUACAUGCAGGCACUACCAACGAUGACAUCAAGAUCGUGCUCCAGUGCCUGGAUGUCAUGCUUGCAAAGCGGAGAAAGCAAGUUUCCCAGCAGCGAGCUCUCGCUUUCCUAAAGCGACUUUCCACACUUGCUCUUCAUGUACUUCCAAACUGCAGUGUUGGGAUCUUGGCAACAAACAGGGUAUUAAUGCAAACAUUCCCAAAGAUGGACCUCUUACUAGACAAUGAAUCUCAAGGCAGUGGAGUUUAUCUCCCAGAACUUGAUGAACCAGAGCAUUGCAACGCCCAGAACACAGCUCUGUGGGAGCUGCAUUUACUACAGAGGCACUAUCAUCCAACAGUGCAGAAAUUUGCAGCUCACCUUGCUGUUGGAGCUCCAGAUGAAGGCUCAAGAGCUCUUCCGCUUGAUUUGAGCCGAAGGCCUGCUACAGAACUUUUUGAGGCAUACAGUAUAAAAGGAAUGAACUUCAAUCCUCCUGUUCCAUCAGUAACACCCAGAAGAAAGGAUACAUUCUCAAAAAAGGAAUCAUUUCUAAGUGAAGAGCUUCAACAACGCAUCAGCAAGACUGUUAUUCAUGAAAAUUUGGAUUUUGCUAAACACUUAAAGGAAUCAUCGUUGUCAUAAAUGGAUCUAUCAAUCAUGUUCAGUUGGCUUCUUAAUUAUGGAGAAGAAUUGGUUGAAAGAAAUUUCCACUCAUCUUAAAAUGAUUUUAAGUAGGCUUUUGUUUGAGUAUACAAGAAAACAAAAAAUAGUGGCAGUUUUUACAGUUACGAGGCCUUUCCAGGUAACCAUCUAGCCUAUGUUCUCAGGGCUUGGGAACCACAAUGAACAGUCGCAUCAGUAAUUAAAAAAAGAUACAAAACCAAGUCAUUUUAAAAUUGUCUGAAACCAUGCAUUAUAGUAUUUUUGUUUAUAAACUUUCUAUUUUUUUGUAAUAGAGUGUACAUCUGUGUUUCUGAGAAAACAUGGAGUUAUGUUAAUAAAUAAAUAUUUUGGAAAUUUUAACAUACUAUUGAGUUCUUUGAUGUUUAAGAUACCUGCAGAUUUGGAAUAUGUGUUGUCUUUUUUUCUGUUUCUUUCUUUCGAUGUCUCCUAACCUUUUUUCAUGUCUUGAAAUUAUUUUGCCUCUGGUGUUUUUUUUUUUUGUUUUUUUCUUGUUUCCACUGAAACCUCAGUAUUAGCAAAUUUGAGAUUACAGAACUCCAGUUCUGCAUUAUCCUCACAAUUGGCAACUCUACAACAGUAUCUUCAGUAAACUACCACUAUCAAGAAUACUGGAUAAAUUCAAGGUAAGAAUUUUAAAUCUUUUUAAUCUUGGAAGUAAUUUUCUCUCCAGUACACAAAUAUUAGUUGUUGUCUGGUGUUUCAGAAUCCAUUUUCAGCUGUGUGUUUGCUUUGCAAAACAGUAAGUAAAAUAUAUUAAAUAAGUGAAGAAUGAUAACUGGUUUUCUAUGGAUUCCAUUCCGUUGGGCGGUGUAGUGGGCUGACCUGGCUGGCAGCUAAUAUGUGCUGUAGCAUUUAGUCUAUGAUGUGAUAAUAAACCUGUGUAAUUAAGUUUUUCAAAGCUUUUGUUAGUUUUUGUUGAGUCACUAACCUCUUUACAAUAAGUAUAAACUACUACUUUUUCUCUAGGGCAUUUAAUGCUUUAUCCUGAUUUAUGGUUCUCAGCUUCUUUUAUUGUAUUUUAUUCAUUUUGAUAUUAUAUGUAUUUUUAGUGUUAAUCAGAAUUGUGGACCAAAUUCCAAGUGGUUAAACGUAAAUUGCAAACAUUUUUUCAAUGGUCAUUUAUCCAUUAAUGGGUUAGAAAAUACGUAUUUUACUACGGGGAUUACAAAACGUAAUACUGAUGGUAAUACACAUUUCUGUCUGUUCAGGUUGCCAUUUCCAUAGUUUUUGUGUAGUUCUAAAUAGCUGUUAAGUGAUUGCAAAUACGGAUGUGACAUACAUUCUGAAAAAUUCUAGGGGCCCCAUUAGCCAGUACUUUGUCAGUUUAGGAAGGCAAAAGUAAAGAGUCAACAUCUUAAAACAUUAUUAUUUUUUUGCAACAUAUACAUAUACAAGUUUAUUCUUCAAGUCAGCAGAGAGAAAAUAGGUGGAAAGUCACUUUUAAAACUGUUAAUUUUACAUAGUUUCCAGGCAAUCUAAAGACUGGCACAUAGUGAUGCUGCAUUGUUAGAAUACUUUGAUAGGCUCUUAGAGGAAGAUGAGUGUACAACCAAUUAGUAAAUGAUUCUGAAAUAUUCUAUAUGAGUAUCAAAGCAAAAUCUAUUCACUGCUAUUUAUUUCUGUGUUUAAUUUGCUAACUCUGCCAAAUGUAUAUUGUAGUUACAAAAUAUUUAUCACAGACAGAAAAAAAAAACCUCCACCAUUGUUACAUUUAGCUGGCUACCCUAAAAGUAAACUGAGUUUUAUAGUGGAGUAGUAACAGCCAGUGAUUAAAAAACAAAUGUUACCUGAAGCUUAGUAGCAUUCAAAGAGCUAGAGCAGAAUGGGCAGUUCAGUUUCAGAAGCUGCAAAUUCAACAUUUCACUGAAAUGUAAACCUACCAGCAAGUUCUUUUUUAAAGACAAACCAUUAAUUUAAGAGAAUGCGUUCUUGACAUAUUUAGGCAUGUCCAUGUUAAAGUAAGUUUUUAUUCCUGAAAGCAUGUGAUUUGCAGAAGCAGACCGCUUUGAAAAGAUGCCCGUUGAGAUCUUUCAUCUAGUAAUAUUCAAUAGCAUCAAUAAAAAAUAAAAAUAUGACUAGGUUUUGAAAAUUGAAAUAGCAUUUCAGAUUCUUCUAACUGUUAAACUUGAACAUACAAAUAGGAAGCCCUUCAGACCUCCUGGCAUGCCCUGGUUCCUGAAAAUUGAGUAGUAUUGCAGUGAGGUCAGGGUCCUGGACUUCUGUCCUAUCUAGUCAUAGCACUGCAGGCAGCACUGACUAUGCAAGGAAAGUAAAAGACGCUGGUAGAAAAGUAACAGUGGUUUUAAAAUAGUAUCAAAGAAAAUACUUCCGUAUGGCCAAAAUGCAACAGAGUGAGAUUUCCACCUGUAAACUGUUAAGUGUUGGUCCUGCUACCACUCAGAGGCUACUUCUGUCUGGAAGGUGUUGAUUAUUUACAUUCCUUGCUUUCAGACUUAAUCCUGGAAGCUGCUUCCUGUAUAUAGUUUGUAAUGUGAAAAUAAAUGUAUUUUCCUAAUUGAUGUCCACAUCCAGCCAAAAGCACAGAAAGGGACAAAGUUAUUUUGUCAGCCUUGUCAGAGGAAUGUGUGGACAAAUAUUCCUGUAGGAAGAAACUCAUCUGUGACUAAGUAGAAUAAAGUUUCCUGUUAGAAUUAAUAACUCAGCAUAUUAAAUCUAUUUAACUGGACUUUCUUAAAAGUUAACAAAAACGCAAACCUGUUUAAUGCUUCAAGUUUUCAUUUCAACAUUUUUCAUUAGUAGGAUAUUUGGAACCAGCACAAAUGGAAGGAUACUCUUCAUUUCCAACUGCACCAAAAAUGAACCACAUUUCAACAGCAAAAAAAAACAAAAGCAAGAAAACAACAAAAACAACAACUAACACCAAUUCACUCUAGUGUUUACCAAGCUUUCUGUAACUUGAGAUUGUGAUAUGUAUACAUUAUUUUUCACUGGAAAAUACAUGUAAUAUACUGGAACAGUUUAAUUAGCCUUAUAAAAUUAUAGAUACCUAUAUGCUGGUUAAGACUUUUCAUAAUAGAAAGCCAAAUAUUUUAUUCUGUUUCACUGUGACAAAUAGCAGCAAAAGCAGCUUUAGACCUCGACUGAUGAGUAAGACUUACUUACAUUUAUAAAAUUCUCCCACAACUAGAGAAUUACUGUAUUAGCAGACAUGGUAUAUAAGUGCUGUUUUUAAAUUGCCACUAGACUUUAGGCUAGUGUUUACUAUUGUGACAUGGCUACUGUUACCCCUUAAUUUCCUAAGUGUUGUUUUUUGUUUGUUUGUUUGUUUUUAAAUCUAUGUGACAGAAAAGCAGUAGUGGCUGAUGACGUGGCUGUAACAACUUCCAAUGUUGGAGCAAGCAUGCAUUCCAAACUACUGUGAAAGUAGAAGUGACGCCAUAUGUCUUGUAGUGAUGCAAUUAGUUUGAGGGAAAAAAACGAACGACACCCCAAAACCUGCAAACUGUAGAACUGACAGAAGUCUAGAAACAAGCCUCAAGAAACAAAGUAAGUUAAAAUCUCAUUUAACAAGUCAGUGUCUCCCUCCUGUGGAAGUAUGUUCCCAUUGAGCUGAUCGUGUACCAUCUAUAAAACCUACAGAAAAGUAUUUGAUCUUUUACCUGAACCUGUUCUUUGAGUUUAAGGAUAAAUUUUCCUGCUCCCUUCCACUUGCUUUGGGCCUGAAACACACACUCCUGGUCAGAGAGAAUUCUCUGAGAUGGUUUAGAUGUUGAGGACUUUUUGUUUGCUGGCUCUUUUGUCACCUCUUCCAAGAGGACAUAAUCGCUUGGAUUUGGAUUGCUCAGAAUGCUGUAGGAAUAUUUUGCUUUACAAAGAGUCUAUUUAAAAGCAGAAAGAAAAAGAAGGAAGAGAAAAAGGAGUCAUUACUUCAGAUGCAGUUUACUAGACAGAUUCCUCAGCUAGUGACGAGAACAAAACCCACCUCUUGCAUGAAAUCAGCCCACACACUACAGAACCCGUUAAUGAAAGUGGUGUGCUGUUUACCUGCUGUAUGACAUCCUGAGCUGUGCUAAAGCGGGGAGCUUUGAUGACAGUGCGUGGUUGCUCUGGGGAGACAUCGUGUACCUGAACAAAGAAACUGUCAUCCUCAGAGGUGAUGGUUACAUCUUCCUUUGCUUCUUGAAAGACAUUUCUCUCAUUUAAAUUCUAAAGGGAAAAAAAAAAAAGAUCCAAAUUCAACUACUUCAAAGUGUAAUUAAUAACUGGUGGUCAUAAAAAGUUUUCAUUACGUGAAAAUCAAUAUUGCUCAUAAUUAAUAGCUGUGUUUCUAAAAUCGGUGUCUGAAGUACUUUUCAUAGUAGGCAAGUAGUGCUUAGGACCACAUUAUGUAAAAAUGAGUUCACUGCUCUCUGCAAAAGAGCUGAAAGGUACAGCUAAUGCUUUCAGGUACUAGCAUCACAGGCCAAAACCACAGCAUAACUUUCAUCCAUGCUAACAUAGAUUUUAACCUGGAGUUCAAGCAGUGACACAUUCGUGGGUGAAUAUACUUAAAAAGUGUCGCAGUCAACUGAAUUAAGUAAGCUACUAUUUGUACAAACAAAUGCCUUCUUUGUAAUUUUGGUUCUAAACAUUAGCAACAAAGGAAAACAAAAUACUGACUUGUGUAAUAGAAUAGUAAUUUGUCAAAAUGAAGAUUUAACAAAAGGUCUGUUAAAACAAGCAGAGUUGAAAACACUUUAUGUUAUAAAAUUUAUCAUAUAAUAUAGCUGUGCAUAUUUUUUUUACUCUAAAAGAUGCCUGAAGACUUUUCAUGUAAAUACUGUCUCUGUCAUUUGUGUAUGUAAACUCUGUGUAUACAAACAUAUGUGCGCAUAAUUUGUCGUGUUCAGACUAAGCAAUUACAUGACAUGCAGAGCUGGCCAAAUUAAAUACCUCUGAAAACUCGAA